rnacentral:rRNA from 1 species
AGCGUACACGGUGGAUGCCCUGGCAGUCAGAGGCGAUGAAGGACGUGCUAAUCUGCGAUAAGCGUCGGUAAGGUGAUAUGAACCGUUAUAACCGGCGAUUUCCGAAUGGGGAAACCCAGUGUGAUUCGUCACACUAUCAUUAACUGAAUCCAUAGGUUAAUGAGGCGAACCGGGGGAACUGAAACAUCUAAGUACCCCGAGGAAAAGAAAUCAACCGAGAUUCCCCCAGUAGCGGCGAGCGAACGGGGAGCAGCCCAGAGCCUGAAUCAGUGUGUGUGUUAGUGGAAGCGUCUGGAAAGGCGCGCGAUACAGGGUGACAGCCCCGUACACAAAAAUGCACAUACUGUGAGCUCGAUGAGUAGGGCGGGACACGUGGUAUCCUGUCUGAAUAUGGGGGGACCAUCCUCCAAGGCUAAAUACUCCUGACUGACCGAUAGUGAACCAGUACCGUGAGGGAAAGGCGAAAAGAACCCCGGCGAGGGGAGUGAAAAAGAACCUGAAACCGUGUACGUACAAGCAGUGGGAGCACGCUUAGGCGUGUGACUGCGUACCUUUUGUAUAAUGGGUCAGCGACUUAUAUUCUGUAGCAAGGUUAACCGAAUAGGGGAGCCGAAGGGAAACCGAGUCUUAACUGGGCGUUAAGUUGCAGGGUAUAGACCCGAAACCCGGUGAUCUAGCCAUGGGCAGGUUGAAGGUUGGGUAACACUAACUGGAGGACCGAACCGACUAAUGUUGAAAAAUUAGCGGAUGACUUGUGGCUGGGGGUGAAAGGCCAAUCAAACCGGGAGAUAGCUGGUUCUCCCCGAAAGCUAUUUAGGUAGCGCCUCGUGAAUUCAUCUCCGGGGGUAGAGCACUGUUUCGGCAAGGGGGUCAUCCCGACUUACCAACCCGAUGCAAACUGCGAAUACCGGAGAAUGUUAUCACGGGAGACACACGGCGGGUGCUAACGUCCGUCGUGAAGAGGGAAACAACCCAGACCGCCAGCUAAGGUCCCAAAGUCAUGGUUAAGUGGGAAACGAUGUGGGAAGGCCCAGACAGCCAGGAUGUUGGCUUAGAAGCAGCCAUCAUUUAAAGAAAGCGUAAUAGCUCACUGGUCGAGUCGGCCUGCGCGGAAGAUGUAACGGGGCUAAACCAUGCACCGAAGCUGCGGCAGCGACACUAUGUGUUGUUGGGUAGGGGAGCGUUCUGUAAGCCUGCGAAGGUGUGCUGUGAGGCAUGCUGGAGGUAUCAGAAGUGCGAAUGCUGACAUAAGUAACGAUAAAGCGGGUGAAAAGCCCGCUCGCCGGAAGACCAAGGGUUCCUGUCCAACGUUAAUCGGGGCAGGGUGAGUCGACCCCUAAGGCGAGGCCGAAAGGCGUAGUCGAUGGGAAACAGGUUAAUAUUCCUGUACUUGGUGUUACUGCGAAGGGGGGACGGAGAAGGCUAUGUUGGCCGGGCGACGGUUGUCCCGGUUUAAGCGUGUAGGCUGGUUUUCCAGGCAAAUCCGGAAAAUCAAGGCUGAGGCGUGAUGACGAGGCACUACGGUGCUGAAGCAACAAAUGCCCUGCUUCCAGGAAAAGCCUCUAAGCAUCAGGUAACAUCAAAUCGUACCCCAAACCGACACAGGUGGUCAGGUAGAGAAUACCAAGGCGCUUGAGAGAACUCGGGUGAAGGAACUAGGCAAAAUGGUGCCGUAACUUCGGGAGAAGGCACGCUGAUAUGUAGGUGAAGCGACUUGCUCGUGGAGCUGAAAUCAGUCGAAGAUACCAGCUGGCUGCAACUGUUUAUUAAAAACACAGCACUGUGCAAACACGAAAGUGGACGUAUACGGUGUGACGCCUGCCCGGUGCCGGAAGGUUAAUUGAUGGGGUUAGCGCAAGCGAAGCUCUUGAUCGAAGCCCCGGUAAACGGCGGCCGUAACUAUAACGGUCCUAAGGUAGCGAAAUUCCUUGUCGGGUAAGUUCCGACCUGCACGAAUGGCGUAAUGAUGGCCAGGCUGUCUCCACCCGAGACUCAGUGAAAUUGAACUCGCUGUGAAGAUGCAGUGUACCCGCGGCAAGACGGAAAGACCCCGUGAACCUUUACUAUAGCUUGACACUGAACAUUGAGCCUUGAUGUGUAGGAUAGGUGGGAGGCUUUGAAGUGUGGACGCCAGUCUGCAUGGAGCCGACCUUGAAAUACCACCCUUUAAUGUUUGAUGUUCUAACGUUGACCCGUAAUCCGGGUUGCGGACAGUGUCUGGUGGGUAGUUUGACUGGGGCGGUCUCCUCCUAAAGAGUAACGGAGGAGCACGAAGGUUGGCUAAUCCUGGUCGGACAUCAGGAGGUUAGUGCAAUGGCAUAAGCCAGCUUGACUGCGAGCGUGACGGCGCGAGCAGGUGCGAAAGCAGGUCAUAGUGAUCCGGUGGUUCUGAAUGGAAGGGCCAUCGCUCAACGGAUAAAAGGUACUCCGGGGAUAACAGGCUGAUACCGCCCAAGAGUUCAUAUCGACGGCGGUGUUUGGCACCUCGAUGUCGGCUCAUCACAUCCUGGGGCUGAAGUAGGUCCCAAGGGUAUGGCUGUUCGCCAUUUAAAGUGGUACGCGAGCUGGGUUUAGAACGUCGUGAGACAGUUCGGUCCCUAUCUGCCGUGGGCGCUGGAGAACUGAGGGGGGCUGCUCCUAGUACGAGAGGACCGGAGUGGACGCAUCACUGGUGUUCGGGUUGUCAUGCCAAUGGCACUGCCCGGUAGCUAAAUGCGGAAGAGAUAAGUGCUGAAAGCAUCUAAGCACGAAACUUGCCCCGAGAUGAGUUCUCCCUGACUCCUUGA